rnacentral:rRNA from 1 species
UACGUAGGGGGCAAGCGUUAUCCGGAUUUACUGGGUGUAAAGGGAGCGUAGACGGAAUUGCAAGUCUGAUGUGAAAAUCCGGGGCCCAACCCCGGAACUGCAUCGGAAACUGUAUUUCUAGAGUGUCGGAGAGGCAAGUGGAAUUCCUGGUGUAGCGGUGAAAUGCGUAGAUAUCAGGAGGAACACCAGUGGCGAAGGCGGCUUGCUGGACGAUGACUGACGUUGAGGCUCGAAAGCGUGGGGAGCAAACAGG